GACGAACGCUGGCGGCGUGCCUAAUACAUGCAAGUCGAACGCAGUGGGGACGGGUGAGUAACAAGUGGGUAACCUGCCAUCAGAGGGGGUAAAACUUGGAAACAGGUGCUAAAACCGAUACUGAUGGAUGGACCCGCGGGGCAUUAGGUAGUUGGUGAGGAAACGGCUCACCAGGGCCACGAGGCAUAGCCGACCUGAGAGGGGGACCGGCCACACUGGGACUGAGACACGUCCCAGACUCCUACGGGAGGCAGCAGUAGGGAAUAUUCGGCAAUGGACGAAAGCCUGAUCGAGCAAUGCCGCGUGAGUGAAGAAGUUUUUCGGAUCGUAAAGUUCUGUUGUCAGAGAAGCGUUAUCUAACCAGAAAGCCACGGCUAACUACGUGCCAGCAGCCGCGGUAAUUC
rnacentral:rRNA from 1 species